rnacentral:rRNA from 1 species
UAUAAGUGAUGGCGACCGGCGCACGGGUGAGUAACACGUAUCCAACCUGCCGAUAACUCGGGGAUAGCCUUUCGAAAGAAAGAUUAAUACCCGAUGGUAUAAUAAAACCGCAUGGUUUAAUUAUUAAAGAAUUUCGGUUAUCGAUGGGGAUGCGCUCCAUUAGGCAGUUGGUGAGGUAACGGCUCACCAAACCUUCGAUGGAUAGGGGUUCUGAGAGGAAGGUCCCCCACAUUGGAACUGAGACACGGUCCAA